UGAGUAACCUGCCCUUAACCCUGGGAUAAGCCUGGGAAACUGGGUCUAAUACCGGAUAUGACUCCUCAUCGCAUGGUGGGGGGUGGAAAGCUUUAUUGUGGUUUUGGAUGGACUCGCGGCCUAUCAGCUUGUUGGUGAGGUAAUGGCUCACCAAGGCGACGACGGGUAGCCGGCCUGAGAGGGCGAUCGGCCACACUGGGACUGAGACACGGCCCAGACCUCCGUACGGGGAGCAG
rnacentral:rRNA from 1 species